GCUGUGCCAAUUGUCACGUACGCGAGUUCGGAAUCAAUCAAUCAUUAUCUCGAUUAUUAAUUCUCCGUAUCAAAACAUAAUUUGAUACGCCAAAGAUUGGUGACGCAAGACCAAGGAGAUUACUUUAGAGAUGUAAACCUUAUUCUUUAGCGACGUCGGGAGACGAUUCAGGCCUUGUAAGAAAUGCCUGUAGACGGUAAGCAAUGGGUUCUGAAAUAUUAGAACAAGAAUGUCUGAUGAGUAAGCUCUCUCUCUAUUAUACGAAUUCUUGUAAACGUAUGCGUUAUGAAGAACAGUCUAUGAUGAUUAAUGACUGAGGCAUUGAUUUAUUACUGAUGACGGAGCGUCCAAUAAAACCGACAUCCCAACAAAAAAUUGCCUUGAAGCAUUCACCCUUAUGAUAUGACCAUAGCGUGUCAUCUGAUUUGUAAGCCCUGAUAUACCAACCUCCUAUUUCCAUUCGACAGAAUUAAUAGUAUCAGGUUAAUUUUAAUUAGUGGUAAUCUAUUAUUAAUUAUCAGUCCUCAUUUCCGUUAAAAUGUUAUAUUAUGAAUCCCACAUUUAUAACGUGAACUGUAAUGUUUAAUAUGCGGUGUUAUUAUUUAUCAGUUCCAUUUAUGACUAUAAGCAUAGCUAGCCUUUAUUAAGCUUUAUUGAAACUAAAUUUUAUUGGAGCCAUUGAUAGGUAAGUAUUUUAUACAAAAUGGAGCGUAAAUUAAAAGUUAUACUAAAAUAUAUUUUACUAAAAACCCAUCUGUAGUUAAAAAGUCGUCGGUCAGCCCAGAUUUCAGGAAAAAUAUAAUACCAAAUAAAAUUCCUGAGCAAAUAUUUCAUUUAAUUAACUGAGAACGAACUAUCAAGACUCAUUGAAAGCGAUAGGCCACUAAAUAAUAAUGUUCAGUCGUCAGUGAAACGGCAAUCCGUUAAAAGUUGUUUGGAGUUUUUCAUAGCCCGUUUGUUUUGAAAUUUCCUCAAAGCAGAAAAUGCUAUUUACUUAUUGCGCCUCGUUUACUUACAAGGUAUUUAGGUUUGUGUCGUCUGUUCUCAGUUUUGUAUUUGGAAAAUGGAAUUUUCCUGUUGGGAUAUAGAAGGGGCGGAAUUCCCAAUCGAUUUUCAAAAAGGACGUUUUGUAAUAGCUAUUUCGUUUUUGUUUACAGUUUGUUCUUAUUGUGGUUUCCGUCUGAUUCAUUUGUUUUUGUUCUGUGGUUACAAAACUGUUUUAAGUCUACCUGAAAUCAUCCUGUUUUAAGUCUACAUGAAAUCUCUCUACCUGAAAUCAUUAUUGUUAUGAUUCACAUUGUAAUUAAACCGAUAGGUACUGUCACUGGGUUCUGUUGUACCUAAACGAUAUGUAAAUACCUGAAUUAGGCACAAUAUUUACACAAGUUAUCGCUUGUAGUUGAUAAGGACAUCAAUAAGUCCGCGUGAUGGGCCAGAUAAGGCUGUGCCUAUAAAUUCAUCGAUCGAUCUCUAAGUAUGGAACAAACGUUUUUGCUUCAAGCAGGGCCAAUUGAAUAUUUUGUGAAUUUUGGAACUAUACACAUAAUAAUGCCACCACCACCACCGCAUCCGGACCAGCCACCGCAUCACCCAGGCGGUCAUCCACCGGGGCACGAUCCACAUCAUCCACCGCAUCAACCCCCGCAUCAUCCACCACACCAUCCACCGCAUCACCCACCACCACAUCACCAGCCCCCACCACCUCGGUAUUAGAUGCUGGGGGUGAGAGUGUGAUGACGUAAUAUUAUGUACUGACACUGUUACUUACGGCAGUAUUAAUUGUGUAACUUAUAUUAUUUAAUAAAUAUGUAUGUUUUUUAAGCAA